rnacentral:rRNA from 1 species
GAUGAACGCUGGCGGCGUGCCUAACACAUGCAAGUCGAACGGAGAUUACGGACGGAAGUUUUCGGCUGGAAGGCUGCACUUCUUAGUGGCGGACGGGUGAGUAACGCGUGAGUAACCUGCCCUAUAAAGGGGGCUAGCAGCUGGAAACGGCUGGUAAGACCGCAUCAGUCGGCGAGACCGCAUGGUUUUGCUGGGAAGUGAGCAAUUAGGUAUAGGAUGGGCUCGCGUCUGAUUAGCCAGAUGGGAGGGUAAACGCCUACCAAAGCAACGAACGGUAGCCGGAGUGAGAGGGCGGACGGCCACAUUGGGACUGAGACACGGCCCAAACUCCUACGGGAGGCAGGAGUGGGGGAUAUUGCACAAUGGAGGAAACUCUGAUGCAGCGACGCCGCGUGAGUGAAGAAGUAUUGCGGUAUGUAAAGCUCUAUCAGCAGGGGAGAUGAUGACGGUACCUGACUAAGAAGCCCCGGCUAACUACGUG